rnacentral:rRNA from 1 species
UACGUAGGGUGCGAGCGUUAAUCGGAAUUACUGGGCGUAAAGCGUGCGCAGGCGGUUCGUUAUGUCCGAUGUGAAAGCCCCGAGCUUAACUUGGGAAUGGCAUUGGAAACUGGCGGGCUGGAGUGCGGCAGAGGGGGGUGGAAUUCCACGUGUAGCAGUGAAAUGCGUAGAGAUGUGGAGGAACACCGAUGGCGAAGGCAGCCCCCUGGGCCGACACGUGACGCUCGAGGCACGAAAGCGUGGGGAGCAAACAGG